rnacentral:lncRNA from 1 species
GAAGCGGAGAGCGCGGCGUGAAGGUCACCCUGCUGAGAGUAAGUUUCUCCUUUAUAGUGUAACUCUGUGAUGUGCCGUCCCUCUAACCCCAUCCUUUGGGUGUGGGGGUCACGACGGCCCUAAAAUCCCAGCACCCGGCCCUCCGUCCCAAGUUAGUCAAUACGUCGCCGUUAUAGGUCGGGUUUGUUUUCCUUAGAGUUCGAAAUCGCUCUGUGCCUGAUCCUGGAGCCCCCGGCUUUUCUGCCUUUAGUACACGUAGACGCAGCCUUUGGCGGCGUUUUCCUGCUUAGAUUCCUUUCCUGCCUCCGCCCCGCCAUGUAAAGUGCUCUUCCCCGAGGAGGACCCGCGCCCCCACCUCGCUCCCCCAACUGGAGGCAGCGCCGGCCGCCCCGCUCCCGGAGAGGCCGCGUCCUCGCCCCGGUGCUGGGAUUCGGGAGCCCCCCUCUCCUGAGACCACCCUCCCUGCAGCCCCUCUGUCCUCGCGGCCCCUCCGGCCGGUCCUUCUGCCCCGCAGGCCUCACGUGUGUAGUCAGCCCUUCCCCGCACCCGGCGUAGGGGGAGGUGACCUCGUCCACCGUGUGACACCCAGCGUUCUUCCGUCUCAAAGUCCACCGGAUGAAAUAUGUUCUCUUCCGGUUGGCGGGCAUCUUAUUUAGUCUCCAUCCCUGUAAAUACUUGUGUGAGGGGCAUGAGGAGAGGCAGAGACAUGGGAAUGACAUUGUGGCGCAUCGGUGUCAGGACCCACAGCAGCGGUUCGCGUCGCUGCUGUGGUUCUGGUUCCAUCCCUGGCCAGGGAACUUCAACCUGCCGUGGGCGCCCCCCCCGCCCAAAAAAAAGAUGAGCCAAACACAGAAAAGUUGAGGAGAAAAUAAUAAGAUAGGACGGAUGGACACGUAGAGGAUGGCUAAGGGAUUUAUAAGGCAGCAAAUGAAAUACAGUAGGCCUUGAAAUUAGCAGGUGCGUGUACUCCAGAAGUAAUAAAAAGCCGGAUCUUCAGGGGUUGGAAAGCAACACUGGGAGAGUGUAGCAGUGCAGUGAUGGGAGGGGUGGCGGCUGUGUUGAGGCACUUAGCAGGGAGAGCGGCGGAGGUGGAGGGUAAUAAACAGUGGGAACUACAGGAAAUUCAGAGUCUCCUUGUUCUGGGAGAGAAACAGAUGACAACUUGUGACUAGCAGAGGAAGAGACAGAGCAGGAAGGAAGCAGAGCCACUUGGGGUGCCAGGGAGUGGGGGAGGGAGUGUAACAGGGACAGAAGGGGUGGGUGGUGUAACCCUGGGGACAGAGAGAGUGUAGAGUUGUGUGAAGGGGGCAGAACUAUAUGGAUAUUUAAGACAAUUAGAAAGGCUGGGGGAAGAACAAGUGGGGAGUCUACUUGCAGAGUAGGGCAGGAUGGAUGAGAGAUAAGAAACAGGAGGCCAGGGAGUUCUCCUCCUGGCUCAGCAGAAACGAAUCUGACUAGAAUCCAUGCCAGCGCAGGUUCGACCCCUGGCCUCCCUAGGUGGGUUAAGGAUCCGGCAUUGCCGUGAGCUGUGGUCUCUGUAGUCUGUGUAGGUCACAGACGUGGCUGGGAUCUGGUGUUGUUGCGGCUGUGGUGUAGACCAGCGGCUACAGCUCCAAUUCAACCUCCAUGUGCCUCGGAUGUGGCCCUAAAAAGACAAAAAAGAAAGAGAAGAAAUAGGAGGCCAGGAGUUUCCAUCGUGGCUCAGUGGUUAACAAACCCCUGACUAGGAUCCAUGAGGACAUGGAUUCCAUCCCUGGCCUUGCUCAGUGGGUUAAGGAUCUGACGUUGCCAUGAGCUGUGGUGUAGGUCACAGACGCGCCUCGGAUCCUGCGUUACUGUGUCUGGUGUAGGCUGGCAGCUACAGUUCUGAUUCCACCCCUAGCCUGGGACCCUCCAUAUGCCGCAGGUGCAGCCCUAAAAAAAAAAAAAGAAGAAGAAGAAAGAAAUAGGUUGCUGGCAGGCGCACCAUGAGAAUAGUAGGGCGCAGUGGCUUGGGUCACUGAAGAGGUGUGGGUUUGAUCCACAGCCCAGGGCACAUUGGUCUUGCUGUGGCUCCAGUUCCCAGUUUCCAGGCCCUGGGAACUUCCACAUGCCAUGUUUUGGGCCAUAAAAUAAAAAAAAACGGGAGUUCCUGUUUUAGCUCAGGGAGUUCCUCUUGUAGCUCAGUGGGUUAGGGAACACAACUAAUAUCCAUGAGGAUGUGGGUUCAAUCCCUGGCCUCGCCCACUGGGUUAAGAAUUUAGCAUUGCCAUGAGCUGUGGUGUAGGUCGAAGAUGUGGCUGCAAUCCAUGUUGCUACGGCUGAGGUGUAGUCUGGCAGCUGCAGUUCCAGUUGAAUCCCUAGCCUGGAAACUUGCAUAUGCUACAGGUUCAGCCCUAAGAAGCAGACAAACAAACCACAAAAAGCCGGCAACAACAAAACAAAAACAAAAAGAAGGAGAUAUAGGGAAAGAAAGAGGGAGAUAAAUAAUGAAAUGGGAACACCUGGUAGUGCAGGUAGAGAGGGGAAACUGGAUCAAGAUGGAGGGUGAGUUGUUUGGAUGUGGAUGCUUAAAGUGUGAUACAUGAUUUGUAGCUUUAGAAUGUAGUAAAUUUAAAAUUCAGGAGUUCUGGAGUUCCCGUUGUGGCUCAUCGAGUUAAGAACACGACAUAGAGUCCGUGACGAUGUGGGUUUAAUCCCUGGCCUCACUCAGUGGGUUAAGGAUCACUGCCUUAAGCUCCCGCAUGUAGGUGGCAGAUGCGGCUCAGAUCCAGCAUUGCUGUGGCACAGGCUGGCCAUUGUAGUUCUCUUUUGACCCUUGGCCUGGGAACUUCCAUGAUGCCGAGGUGUGGCCAUAAAAAAAAGAAAAAGUAGAAAAGAAAAAAAUUGCAGUUCCAGCUGUGGUGCCAUGGAUUGGCAGCAUCUUGGGAGCCCUGAGACUUGGCAGGCAUAGUGGGUUAAGGAUCCAACAUUUCGGCAGCUGCAUCUUGGGUCUCCACUGCAUGCAGCUCGGAUCUGAUCCCUGGCUCCAGAAUUCCAUAUGCUGCAGGACAGCCAAAAAUGGAAGAAAAAAAAUUCGCAUUAUUUCCUUUUAUUGAUUCAGAUUUAUUUGACAUUUGAGUGCUUUCCUCUCUUUAUCUGAUAUCUUGGAGAAGUUCCUUAGUAACUGGUAAAGAAUUUUAGAGUAUUUUGAUGAGUGCUUGGUAAAGAUGUCAGUCCAACAACCCACUUUAACCAGCUAGUCUAAUACUAGAGUUUUCCCUGUCACGUGAUCUGUGAACAGAGCGAGCUAUGCGAUGGUGACGUGAGGUUGGUUCCCUUUGCUGAAAGGUCCUUGUGCCUUUUAGCCGUGUUUGCCCAUGGGUACGUGGAGGAGAGAUAGAUGGACAGAGAAGUGGGGAGGGCAGCCUGCAGCAGAAGGGAUGUGGAGGCAAGCGUGCGCCUCUGGACGGCCAGUAAAGGGCGUGUGCACUUGUCCCUUUAUGGCUCAAGGGAUGCGUGGGACUGUUUGCAUGCGACGUAUCCCUUCUGGCGGGAGCACCUGGUAUUGGGGUUAUGGCUUCUGGGGUUCAUUGCAUGGUUGGAGGUUCCUUAGUGUGUUAGCUCAGGGUGCCUGGAACAUAGCUGCUGAGUCUUAGGUUUACCAGUAUCAGUUUCAUGAUCAUCUAUGAGGCGGAAUGAAGGUAGUGUGUUUAGGCUGAGAAGACAUUGUUAGACGUGUGGCCUGAGCGGAGCCCUCAGGGAUCACUGGGGGCAGAAGGAUGGCAGCCUUGUCCUCAGGCAGUGGAGGUAGAGGGUGCCCCACAGCUUGCACUCCGCAAGUGUCUUGUGUUGGUUUUUUUUUUUUUUUUUUUUUUUUUUUUUUUUUUUUUUUUUUUUUUUUGUAGAUCAGGAAUUAUUGUGCAGAGAAAUUGCUUUGGGAAAGAUCUCCAGUGUUCUCCUUAAUUGCUGCAAGUAAUAAAAUGCUUCCUGCUCCAGAAAAAAGAAAACAAAUAGAAAUCAUUGUGCAGUUUUUAGAGGAAUAGAGGGAAAAAUCGCAAAGAUCAUUUUGUGGGCUACCUUUGAUACUUUUUAGUAUUUUGUGCUGCAAAUGAAAAACAUUUCUGACACAGAAUGAAAGAUGCGAAAGGCAGUUUGGAGUGUUGUGGGUCUCACUGGGGCGUCACCAUGGAAACUCUAUAAUACAUAGUGUUUGGGGGAGUUCCCCUUGUGGCUUAGUAGAAACGAACCCAGCUAGUAUCCAUGAGGAUGCUGGUUUGAUCCCUGGCCCCGCUCAGUGGGUUAAGGAUCCAGCAUUGACAAAAGCUGAGGUGUAGGUUGCAGAUGUAGUUCCGAUCUGGUGUGGCUGUGGCUGUGGUGUAGGCUGGCAGCUGUAACUCCAGUUCCACCCCUAGCCUGGGAACUUGCAUAUGCCGGACCUGCAGCCCUAAAAAUAUCUAUAUGUAGUUUUUGGAGAUGGCAUUGUUUGGUAUAUUUAGGUAAACAUUUGCAACAUGUACAUCUAAUUACAUUGUGCAGACUGUAUUUAUUCAUACUGUGUUUCUGUGUACUUGGUAUUUUCUUUGAAACACUUAAGUGUUCUCAGCACACAGAAAUAAAAAAGGAGCAGGAGUUCCCGUUGUGGCACAGCGGAAACGAAUCCACCUAGGAACCAUGAGGUUGUGGGUUUGAUCCCUGGCUUCGCUCAGUGGGUUAAGGAUCCCGUGUUGUCAUGAGCUGUGGUGUAGGUCAGACACAGCUCAGAUCCCGAAUUGCUGUGCCUGUGGUGUAGGCUGGCAGCUGUAGCUCCGAUUGGACCCCUAGCCUGGGAAACUUCAUAAGCCUCAGUCAGGUGUGACCUUAAAAAGCUAAUCAAUCAGUCAAUCAAUCAAUAAAAAUAAAAUAGUGAAUUGAUGGAAGUGUAAAGUACUGUAUUGUGAUUAUCACACAGCUUAUCAACUGCCAAAGAAUCACACUGAAUGUCUCAUAUACACACCAUUAUUAUUUAUCAAUUAUACCUCAGUUAACCUGGAAAGGAAAGUGGGAGGUGUGCAAAGCCUGCCUCCUUUGAGUGCUGCUUAACCCAGACUUCACUUUAGAUCCAUGAGGUGUUUUGCAUGUACAUGUUCUGUGCCCUCUGACCAGGGAUUCCCCUUCAUGCAGUCAUGUGGGAUCCAACAUCAAUAUUUAAGGUGCCCCAGGUGAUUCCAAUCCGGAUCCAUCCUUGAGCAGCAACGCUCCGCGUCCUUCCAAUCCUGGGGGCUGGUAUCUGGGCUGAGGGCGAGGGGGCUCUGCUCUGCACGGGGGAUGGAGCAGGGCUGGUCUGUGGCCUGCAGGGGGUUGUGGGGUCCAGCUGAGGUGCCCAAGGUUGAGUGUAAGUGAGGGCCUCACCAGGAGGGGAGCUUAAUCAGAAGGAAAGUUGUUGGAAAACUCUCCUGUUGGUCUCCGUGGGAGUUUCUUGUCCUGAGUGCCUCCUGGGACAGCGGACCCCAGAGGCCUGUCUCUUCCACAUGGUGCGGUCUCCCCUGUGCAUGUGGUUGUGGCACAAGAACGCUGCCAAGACCAGCUCAGCAGGUUGGGGCUGAAGAACAGGUGCUGUGAAACUUCAGGAAAAAAAGUUAACAUAAAACAAGACACAGAGACAUUUAUCUUGAGUAAAGGUGGGAACCGGGGAACUCAAGGUCUCAGGGACUAAGAGCCCCACCUCAAGAAACCACACUGCUUUUUUGUGCUCUUGAGGAUGACGUCAAGUGAGGAGGGGGCUUUGGGUGCAGGAUAUAGGUUUUUUUAAGUUAUUUUAAAAGUCACAGAGCCGGUUGCUGAUUAAGCUUUUAUUCUGACCUUUAGGCUUUUAACAGUCAUUAGCAUUGAGGAAGCUUGGCGUCGGCUCUCUAGGCAUAGCAUUCUGGAGAAUCACCCUUGUGCUUCUGCAGACAGCGGCGUGCCUAUCUGCGGCAACCUGGCUGGCAUGCCUAGGUUUGCACCUCGGUUCUCCUUGCUCAUGCAUCUCCUGCUAACGACCCUCAUAAACCCCUCGGGGCCAUGAGGUUCAUCUUCCUCUUAUUCUUUAGAGGACAUAGCAUGCUGUGCACACGGCAGGCCUGGACCAAGGCAUUCUGUCCUCAUUCAGCUGACCCCAUGCAUGGCUUAUGCCUUUAGGUCUUUGUGCUUAUGCUUAAGUCAUUUACCGGCACUGUGACUGUUUUCCAAGCAGGAAGAUGGGGUGAAGGAAAGCAGGACAAGAUGCAGUUUUCAGCAUAGAAACCAGAAGCAAAGAGGCUAAGAAAAGAUUGCGGAAACCUGUCUCACGGCAGAACGCAGUAUGUUGAGUCUAAGCAUUAAGCAGCAUCUUUUUAACUUUCAAGUUUGAUUUCUAAAGACGCAUGUUGCCUGAGCAAGAAGCCCGGCGGGGGAGGAGGAGGAAGAGGAAGGAAGACCAGGAGUCAGGAAUGGCUGUUUCUCAGGUAAAGUUAAUUCCUCAGGGAUUCUCCGUCUGUCCUUCCUGAGAUGCCCUCCUUUGGCCUCACUCAUCUUGUCAGACCCUGUCCCUUCCCAGUCACCCGGGGCCUCCCCUCAGGGCCUGUCCCCUCCACUUAUGACCCAGUGACCUGGAGCUUGUGAAGAGGCCCCCUUGGGCAUCGUCCUGGGCUUCACACCCGUGGACUGGAGACAUAGCGUCGGGCAGGGAUUGGGCCCCAUCUGGAUGCACAGUCUGCGGUCACCCAGGAUCAAGAAGCUGCACUCCAAAGUCAGGAGUUUUUGAAUCCGACCAGGAACCGUGAGAUUACAGGUUCAAUCCCUGGCCUCGGUCAGUGGAUAAAGGGUCUGGUGUUGCCGUGAGCUGUGGUGUAAGUUGCAGGCACAGCUUGGAUCUGAUAUUGCUGUGGUGGUGGUGUAGGCUGUAGCUCCAAUUGGACCCCUAGCCUGGGAACCUCCAUGUGCUGCAGGUACGGC